rnacentral:rRNA from 1 species
GACGAACGCUGGCGGCGUGCCUAAUACAUGCAAGUAGAACGCAGUUGCGAACGGGUGAGUAACGCGUAGGUACCCUGCCUCAUAGCGGGGGAUAACUAUUGGAAACGAUAGCUAAUACCGCAUACUGUGAGAUGGACCUGCGUUGUAUUAGCUAGUUGGUGAGGUAAAGGCUCACCAAGGCGACGAUACAUAGCCGACCUGAGAGGGUGAUCGGCCACACUGGGACUGAGACACGGCCCAGACUCCUACGGGAGGCAGCAGUGGGGAAUAUUGCGCAAUGGGCGCAAGCCUGAUGCAGCCAUGCCGCGUGUAUGAAGAAGGCCUUCGGGUUGUAAAGUACUGUCAGCGGGGAGGCGUUACCCGCAGAAGAAGCACCGGCUAACUCCGUGCCAGCAGCCGCGGUAAUUC